UUUAGCCUGCACUGCACUGUUUCUUGGGGUCUUGCGGGGUGUAGAAGGCACCCUGUUUCCAGUUGUUGGGUUGAGAGAUAAGCGCUGCUCUCAUACCCCUUCAUCCUUAUGGGAUACAUUUGAUGUUGGUUUUCUUGGUAAUAAGUCUGACCCUAUUUGUCAGUCUAGUUCGAUUGUAUUUUCGAUGCAUGCUGUGCGGUUGGUGCCUCAUUUCGCUAAAAUUCAGUGGGGGUGGGUGUAACGGAGUUAAAAUGCACUAUUUUUGAGUACAGUUUACAAUUUAUAUUUGAGAUUUCAUUUAUAAUUUAUUUCUGUUAAGAAUUUGUGAAUUUUAUCUUAACGAGUUAUGUAUAUUUACUGUUAUUUUAUCAAAUUUAUGUUUCCUUUGAGAAUUACCUUUUUGGCACCUUGCGGCUUCUGUACCUCCUGGGUUUCCGUAGCUCCUUCCGUCUGUCCCUCACAGUGCCGUUUUGCAUUGCUGAGGGAGCAGAGGUGCAGAAAACAAAUGUCCAGAAGGCAAAUUGAAUGUUCUUUUGUCUUCUGCAGAAAAUAAAAGCUGGAAAACA